rnacentral:rRNA from 1 species
GACGAACGCUGGCGGCGUGCUUAACACAUGCAAGUCGAACGGAAAGGCCCUGCUUUUGUGGGGUGCUCGAGUGGCGAACGGGUGAGUAACACGUGAGUAACCUGCCCUUGACUUUGGGAUAACUUCAGGAAACUGGGGCUAAUACCGGAUAGGAGCUCCUGCUGCAUGGUGGGGGUUGGAAAGUUUCGGCGGUUGGGGAUGGACUCGCGGCUUAUCAGCUUGUUGGUGGGGUAGUGGCUUACCAAGGCUUUGACGGGUAGCCGGCCUGAGAGGGUGGCCGGCCACAUUGGGACUGAGAGACGGACCAGACUCCUACGGGAGGCAGCAGUGGGGAAUAUUGCACAAUGGGCGGGAGCCUGAUGCAGCAACGCCGCGUGCGGGAUGACGGCCUUCGGGUUGUAAACCGCUUUCGCCUGUGACGAAGCGUGAGUGACGGUAAUGGGUAAAGAAGCACCGGCUAACUACGUG